ACAGAUGUGUGUGGGGUGAUGGGAAACCGGGCCCCGGUGCCACAGGUCCCCAAAGCUGCAUCCCCAAAGCUGCAUCACCAGCACUGCCUCCCUCCAGUCCUCACUGCAGCCCUGUUUUGCAGAGGCUCCAAAAUUCCAAAUAAUGCCCCUUUUUUAGCGACGAACACGAGGGGCAGGAGCCGGCCUUUGCCCUGUGUGUCUCCUCCGGUUGUUCUCUCCCAGGACCCCCAACCCCACAGUUCUCACCCCCCCCCCCCCCCUAUCGCCGAGCUGCGUCCCCCUGCAAUACCCAGCCCAGUGCCAUGGGGUCCCCUAUGGAGCUGCGAGUGCUACAGGGACGUGACCACCCCCCUCGGCCCCCACCCGCUAUGGGGCAGGGCUGGAAGUGCCGCCGGUGCCCCCGGAGCCGCCGCAGGAAACGGCUCAUUGUUAACAACGCCGAAAGAGAAAAAAAAAAACAACAAGAAAGAGACCCGAAAAAAUCGCAGCCGUUGAGGCCAGCUUCUAUUUGAGGGUUUCCACGGGGAAAAACAGGAAGCAGAAUCGCGUUACUUUUCUAGGGCUUUGCUGCAGAUAACGCCGCCGUUAGGAUGUGGGGCAGAGAAUGAGGAGGGGAUGAAGGCUCUGGGGCCCUCCCUGCUGCGCCAUGGAUUUCAGUCCCCAGCUUUAACGGGGAGUUUGGGAGGUGGGAAGUGGGCCUUGCUGUGCCCCCCCCCCAUCCCCAGGCUUCUCAUGGGUUGAGCUGGACUCGUUGUGACCACGCUGCAGGGCAGAGCCGGCAGCACGGGGCUGUGGAGGCGAUGCUGCCGUGAUGGAAGGCGGUGCUGGGGAGGAACUGCAAGGAUUUCCUUCCCUGUGUUCACACCCAGAGCACGGCAGGAGGGGCAGCGGAGAGCCCAGAACUGCCCUGCUGGGCCUCAGGGCUGGGAUGGGAGGUGCAGGAGGAGGGGAGGGGGGUUCUGAUGUUGGUGUUUGGGUACGGGUGUGAAAAGGAGCAGCUUUGGGAUGUGGGGAUGAAGCCACACAUCAACCUGCAAAGCUGUCCGUGGGGUCCUGUGCCAACAGUGGCUGCGUGGGGAAGGGGCGUCCUGGGGCUCCCAAAUCCCCACUGAGCCGUCAGCCUCAGGUUGGGUUAAAGAGGAUCUGAGGACUUUCUCCUGUGGGCGUUAAUCUGGAUGCAGUGACCACUCUCAGCCACUGUGCUCCCAUCCCGGUCCCUCUGUCCACAUCCCCCCCAUCCUCCAACCCCAUGGAACAUCCCUGCGUUCCCCUGGCUGCAUCACCUGCGCCAUGGGGUGACCUGGACCCCAUAUCCCCCCAUCCCCGUGGCCCCAGCGCAGGUGGGAGCCAUGAGACGCUGCCAUAUAAGGGCUGAAAAUCAGCUGUUGCCUCGACGCAGCUUUCUCUUCCCUGAAAAUCCUAUUAGAACCUCAUUUUUCUGACCCUAAUCUCGGCUCAAGGGAGAUUCCUCCUUCAGGAGGGAUUUGUGUUUGCCCUCUCCCCCCCAGCCCUCGGUGCAGGGGGACGCAGCGCAUGGUGGCGGUGGCAGCUGGCUGCCCCUCUGUCCCUCUGUGCCCCGUUGGUGUGACGUUAUCCUUUUGUCUGUGCCAAGGGUUCACGUAUUCCCACAGCUGGGAUGUGGGCAGGGUUGGGGGGGGGUCACCCACUGGGUGCUGUGCUCCCCGUGCCUCAGUUUCCCCGCAGCUCAACCUGAUCCUCCAUUCCCUACUGCUCUGAGGCUGAGGGUUCUCAGUGGGUGUGCUGGUGCAUGGCAGCAGUGCGUGGUGCCAGAGGUGCAUUCUGCAGGAGAUGCAUGGCAGCAGUGCAUGGUGCCAGAGGUGCAUGGUGCAGGAGAUGCAUGGCAGCAGUGCGUGGUGCCAGAGGUGCAUGGUGCAGGUGAUGCAUGGCAGCAGUGCGUGGUGCCAGAGGUGCAUGGUGCAGGUGAUGCAUGGCAGCAGUGCGUGGUGCCAGAGGUGCAUGGUGCAGGUGAUGCAUGGCAGCAGUGCAUGGUGCCAGAGGUGCAUGGUGCAGGUGAUGCUGCAUGGUGCGCAGUGCUGGUGGUGCACGGAAGCAGUGCAGGGUGGCAGCAGUGCACGAUGCUGGCAGUGCACGCCGGGAGCACACGCUGCAUCCCCCCCUGCUCCCGCUCUGCUGUAUAUUUAGGACGCUCCUGUGCAAAACACCAAGUAUGUUGGAAGGCGUCCAGGCGCGCUCGCAUUCCUCGGGGUGGAAUCUGCCCCCGCGAACGCCGCCUGACCUUUCCCAGUUUGGGCUGCAGGAACAAUACUGGGGCCCAUCCUGCACUCAGCCUGGGGCAA